AAUAAAGUACCUACUUAGGAUUUACAUUGAUGAAGUAACCAUGCAUACCUGCCUUUAUUA
rnacentral:tRNA from 1 species